GUCGAACGCUGGCGGCGUGCCUAAUACAUGCAAGUAGAACGCAGUUGCGCACGGGUGAGUAACGCGUAGGUAACUGCCUCAUAGCGGGGGAUAACUAUUUGAAACGAUCGCUAAUACCGCAUACUGUGAGAUGGACCUGCGUUGUAUUAGCUAGUUGGUGAGGUAAAGGCUCACCAAGGCGCCGAUACAUAGCCGACCUGAGAGGGUGAGAGGCGACACUGGGACUGAGAGACAGCCCAGACUCCUGCGGGAGGGAGAAGGAGGGGAUCUUCGGGAAUGGACGGAAGUCUGACCGAGCAACGCCGCGGGAGUGAAGAAGGUUUUCGGAUCGUAAAGCUCUGUUUUUAGAGAAGCGGUAACUAACCGGAGAGGGACGGCUAACUACGUGCCAGCCGCCGCGGUAAUUC
rnacentral:rRNA from 1 species